GGCAAAAACAGCGGGCGCGGUGGAGCUGGCAGGGCCGGCGGGGCAGGGCAAAGGCGGUGGUCGCAGUCGGAGAAGUCCCGCUCAACACCCCCCAGGACAAGGGGCGCGGCAGGGGAUGCCAGACAGUCACCAGAGUCCUAAACUACACUAAGGAGUGGGAGAGGCGAAUUCUGCAACGCCGUGGCCUGGGAAUCCUGCGGACGGAGGACGCGGUCUGGCGCGGACAAUUUGGGGGACUUAAAAUGGCUGAAUUCCGGCUUUUAAUUAAAAACAGCCUAUAAUCGAAAACGUCUCGGCGUCCCCGGCUCCCCCGCCGCCUCCCGAGCCCCGAGCUGGGAACCGACGC